rnacentral:rRNA from 1 species
GAUGUGCAGCUUUGAAACUGCUAUUUUGUUUAAACCAAUGAAAUUAAGAGCUGGGAUUUUUGCACCAGCAACCAAUUGAUUGGUGGGUAAAGCCUUGAGUUGGAGCAUAUUUAUUAGGACCCGAAAGAUGGUGAACUAUGCCUGAAGAGAAUGAAUUCAGAGGAAACUCUGACGGAAGUUCGCAUCAAUACUGACGUGCAAAUCGUUUGUCAUACUUGGGUAUAGGGGCGAAAGACUAAUCGAACCAUCUAGUAGCUGGUUCCCUUCGAAGUUUCCCUCAGGAUAGCUGGAGUUGCUCAGUUUUAUUAGGUAAAGCGAAUGAUUAGAGGAAUUGGGGGCAUGCUUGCUCUUGACCUAUUCUUAAACUUUAAAUGGGUAAUAUGAACACAAGUUGCUUUGCUGAACUUGUGGCAUGAAUGACAACACUAAGUGGGCCAUUUUUGGUAAGCAAAACUGGCGAUGAGGGAUGAACCUAAUGUUAAGUCAAAGUGCAUAAAUGCUUGCUCAUUUGAUACCAAAAAGGGUGUUGGUUCAUUUUAACAGCAGGACGGUGGUCAUGGAAGUC